UACAGAGGGUGCGAGCGUUAAUCGGAAUUACUGGGCGUAAAGCGCGCGUAGGCGGCUUUUCAAGUCGAUUGUGAAAUCCCCGGGCUUAACCUGGGAACUGCAGUCGAGACUGUCUAGCUAGAGUAUGGGAGAGGGAAGUGGAAUUUCAGGUGUAGCGGUGAAAUGCGUAGAUAUCUGAAGGAACAUCAGUGGCGAAGGCGGUUCUCUGGGCAUGAUCUGACGCUGAGGCGCGAAAGCUAGGGGAGCAAACGGG
rnacentral:rRNA from 1 species